CGUACAGGUCUCCGUAGGUGAACCUGCGGAGGGAUCAUUACAAGAACGCCCGGGCUUCGGCCUGGUUAUUCAUAACCCUUUGUUGUCCGACUCUGUUGCCUCCGGGGCGACCCUGCCUUCGGGCGGGGGCUCCGGGUGGACACUUCAAACUCUUGCGUAACUUUGCAGUCUGAGUAAACUUAAUUAAUAAAUUAAAACUUUUAACAACGGAUCUCUUGGUUCUGGCAUCGAUGAAGAACGCAGCGAAAUGCGAUAAGUAAUGUGAAUUGCAGAAUUCAGUGAAUCAUCGAAUCUUUGAACGCACAUUGCGCCCCCUGGUAUUCCGGGGGGCAUGCCUGUUCGAGCGUCAUUUCACCACUCAAGCCUCGCUUGGUAUUGGGCAACGCGGUCCGCCGCGUGCCUCAAAUCGUCCGGCUGGGUCUUCUGUCCCCUAAGCGUUGUGGAAACUAUUCGCUAAAGGGUGUUCGGGANGCUACGCCGUAAAACAACCCCAUUUCUAAGGUUGACCUCNGAUCANGNANGGAUACCCGCUGAACUUAAGC
rnacentral:rRNA from 1 species